UUAUUUGUUUGUGCCUUCGCGUCGUGUCACAAGUGUUGUAAUAAAUGUUGAUACCAACUGUUUUGGGGGAAGACAAAUUAUUUGUCGAAGCGCCGGAGCCUUUAAAUCUACAAAGCUUUAUAAAAGCAGCCAAAUUAGAGUUAAAAAUUGAUGCCUCAAGAAAAAUAACAGCCUUAGUGUUUGGUGCAACCAUUAAAGAAGACCAGUUUGAAAAGUAAUUCAUCAAUAUAUGUCAACACCUACUUUUCAUAUUGAGUUGCAAUUUGGAGACUCCGUUCGAUCAGUGGCAUCAGCAUCGACAGUUAGUGGCACUCUAUCGGAGUGUGAAUCCGUAGGUGGUUUUGGGGAUCUUACCCCAAAAACAAAUGUUAUUUCAACUUUAAAGACUGACAUAGAGUCCAUCAAGUCAAUUCCGGCUGUCAACAAAAUAUGGAGAGUUAUGGUGAAUAUUUCGAAGGCCCUUAUUGACGAAUGUCUAAAAGAAGACCCUAACAGAUUGUAAGUAUUUUACUUUAUUGAAAAAAUAGUGAUUGUAAUAAAA